rnacentral:rRNA from 1 species
UACGGAGGGUGCGAGCGUUGUUCGGAAUCACUGGGCGUAAAGGGCGCGUAGGUGGCCCGACAAGUCAGUGGUGAAAGUUCGACGCUUAACGUCGAAUCGGCCACUGAUACUGUUGGGCUGGAGCACUGUAGAGGCUCAUGGAAUUCCGGGUGUAGCGGUGGAAUGCGUAGAGAUCCGGAAGAACACCGGUGGCGAAGGCGGUGAGCUGGGCAGUUGCUGACACUGAGGCGCGACAGCGUGGGGAGCAAACAGG